GCGUGCGCAGGCGGUUUUGUAAGUUUGUCGUGAAAGACCCGGGCUCAACCUGGGAAUUGCGAUGAAGACUGCAAGGCUUGAAUCUGGGCAGAGGGGGGUAGGAAUUCCACGUGUAGCAGUGAAAUGCGUAGAGAUGUGGAGGAACACCGAUGGCGAAGGCAGCCCCCUCGGGUCAAGAUUGACGCUCAUGCACGAAAGCGUGGGGAGCAAACAGGAUUAGAUACCCGUGU
rnacentral:rRNA from 1 species